rnacentral:rRNA from 1 species
UACGUAGGUGGCAAGCGUUGUCCGGAUUUACUGGGCGUAAAGAGCGCGCAGGCGGUCGUUCAAGUCGCGUGUGAAAGCCCCCGGCUCAACUGGGGAGGGUCACGCGAUACUGAUCGACUCGAAGGCAGGAGAGGGUAGUGGAAUUCCCGGUGUAGUGGUGAAAUGCGUAGAUAUCGUCAAGAACACCUAUAGCGAAGGCAGCUUACUAGGCUGUAACUGACGCUGAGGCACGAAAGUGUGGGGAUCAAACAGG